rnacentral:rRNA from 1 species
AGUGAACGCUGGCGGUAGGCUUAACACAUGCAAGUCGAACGGCAGCACAGUAAGAGCUUGCUCUUAUGGGUGGCGAGUGGCGGACGGGUGAGGAAUACAUCGGAACCUACUUUUUCGUGGGGGAUAACGUAGGGAAACUUACGCUAAUACCGCACACGACCUACGGGUGAAAGCAGGGGAUCUUCGGACCUUGCGCGAUUGAAUGAGCCGAUGUCGGAUUAGCUAGUUGGCGGGGUAAAGGCCCACCAAGGCGACGAUCCGUAGCUGGUCUGAGAGGAUGAUCGGCCACACUGGAACUGAGACACGGUCCAGACUCCUACGGGAGGCAGCAGUGGGGAAUAUUGGACAAUGGGCGCAAGCCUGAUCCAGCCAUACCGCGUGGGUGAAGAAGGCCUUCGGGUUGUAAAGCCCUUUUGUUGGGAAAGAAAAGCAGCAGGUUAAUACCCCGCUGUUCUGACGGUACCCAAAGAAUAAGCACCGGCUAACUUCGUG